rnacentral:lncRNA from 1 species
CUCUUUCACCAAAAGUUUCAUUUCUGCCAAUUUGUUGGUUAGUUUAAGUAAACAAUGACACCAAAUGCACUAUUUUUUGUCCGAGUAGGCCUACUUUCACAUACGUUUUAAAUUUGAGGGAGUAAUUGGUGGUAUGACACCUAAAGAGACAAAAAAGUUGAUUAGAAAUCUUUUAUUUUGUUUUAUUCUUAAUCCUUAGUCAAUUUGUAGUUAAAAACAGCCUAUCUGAGCAUUAUGCGACUUAUAUUAAAAUU